UACGAAGGGGGCUAGCGUUGCUCGGAAUUACUGGGCGUAAAGGGCGCGUAGGCGGACAGUUUAGUUGGGGGUGAAAGCCCGGGGCUCAACUCCGGAAUUGCCUUUAAGACUGCAUCGCUAGAAUUGUGGAGAGGUAAGUGGAAUUCCGAGUGUAGAGGUGAAAUUCGUAGAUAUUCGGAAGAACACCAGUGGCGAAGGCGACUUACUGGAUACAUAUUGACGCUGAGGUGCGAAAGCGUGGGGAGCAAACAGG
rnacentral:rRNA from 1 species